GAUGAACGCUGGCGGCGUGCUUAACACAUGCAAGUCGAACGGAAAGGCCCAAACUUGCUUGGGUUCUCGAGUGGCGAACGGGGGAGUAACACGUGGGUGAUCUGCCCUGCACUUCGGGAUAAGCCUGGGAAACUGGGUCUAAUACCGGAUAGGACGAUGGUUUCGAUGCCAUUGUGGAAAGUUUUUUCGGUGUGGGAUGAGGUCGCGGCGUAUCAGCUUGUUGGUGGGGUAGUGGCGUACCAGGGCGGCGACGGGUAGCCGGCCCGCGAGAGUGUAGGGACGCAUUAGACUUCUAAGGCAGGCAGCAGUCGGACAGGUGGCAGAAGGGGGGAAUGUUGGACACAGGGAGACAGCGUGAGGGAGGAAGGCCGUCGGGUGGUAAAGGGCUUUUGGGGGGUAAGAACAUUUGGCUAGGGACGAAGCGUUGUUGUGACGGUACCUGAAGAAGAAGCACCGGCUAACUACGUG
rnacentral:rRNA from 1 species